rnacentral:rRNA from 1 species
ACUGCUCAGUAACACGUGGCUAAUCUGCCCUUAGGACGAGAACAACCCCGGGAAACUGGGGCUAAUUCUUGAUAGGUGAAGAACUCUGGAAUGAGUCUUUGCCUAAAUGGAUUCACGUUAUCCUCGUGAACCUGCCUAAGGAUGAGGCCGCGACCGAUCAGGUUGUUGGCGAGGUAAUGGCUCACCAAGCCUUUUACCGGUGCGGGCCGUGGGAGCGGGAGCCCGGAGAUGGGUACUGAGACAAGGACCCAGGCCCUACGGGGCGCAGCAGUCGCGAAACCUUUGCAAUACACGAAAGUGUGACAGGGCUAUCCCGAGUGCCAUCCGCUGAGGAAGGCUUUUACCCAGUCUAGAACGCUGGGGGAAUAAGGAGAGGGCAAGUCCGGUGUCAGCCGCCGCGGUAAUACCAGCUCUCCGAGUGGUGUGGAUGUUUAUUGGGCCUAAAGCAUCCGUAGCUGGCUAGGUAAGUCCCUUGUUAAAUCCACCGAAUUAAUCGUUGGAUCGCGGGGGAUACUACUUGGCUAGGGGACGAGAGAGGCAGACGGUAUUUUCGGGGUAGGGGUGAAAUCCUAUAAUCCCGGGAAGACCACCAGUGGCGAAGGCUGUCUGCUAGAACGCGCCCGACGGUGAGGGAUGAAAGCUGGGGGAGCGAACCGGAUUAGAUACCCGGGUAGUCCCAGCUGUAAACGAUGCAGACUAGGUGUUUGGACGGCCACGUGCCGUUCUAGUGCCGCAGGGAAGCUGUUAAGUCUGCCGCCUGGGGAGUACGAUCGCAAGAUUGAAACUUAAAGGAAUUGGCGGGGGAGCAC